GUUCUAUUUAAAGAUAUUGCCUAAAACAAACUCUAAUAUUUACAUAUAUUGCUUUAUGCAGAUUCUAUCUGGUUCCUGAAUCUAUCUGCACCGUUCCUAGGCCCAAUCAGACUCUUCUCACUGUCCGAGUCGACUUCCAUCGGCUCCAUCCGAGUCGCUUUCCAAUUGCUUAAUCCGAUUGCCUUGCUUCCUGUUCGAGUCGGUUGUUUCUGCUGCUUUUCUCUCCAACGGCUAUUACCAAAUUCUGGCAUUAACAGCUUGCCAGCAUGUUCAUUGUUUGUUUAGAAUUGAAAUAUAUUUUUCGAAUUAGUUGAAUUUUCGGUCCUAACCGAUCUCCACUUAUCCCACUGGCCUCAUCUUUUCUCUCCUCGUUAUGCUUAUAAGUCAAAUUUAAAUUUUUAGUCAUAAAUUUAGAGUUAAUUUUAAAAUUAUUUUUUAACAUAGUUUUUUCGGUCUGUCUUUUCAAAUUUCAAGGAACAUAAGUUUUAUUUAAAAAUUGUUUUCAAUUGCAGACAUAUCGUUAACCUCUGUUUUCACGAAAAAGACAAACAAUGAGUCUCAUACAGGCUAACAUAAACGUGAUAUAAAAAUACUUACAUGCAAAUAUUAUAAUUUUAUUAAAAGUAGCUCUUUGUUGCUCAACCAAUUGAACAAUUCUCAUGAAGUAUAAUAUGACCAAGGUUGAGAGUGCCAUCUGAGAUUUGACCACUAGUAAGCAAGUCUUGUCUAUAGAUUAAUUAACCUUGACCACCGAGUGCUUUGCGAUGACAACUUUGACUUCUUGAUUUGGGAACUGAAAUUAAAAACAUAUCCAAAAUUUGUGUUUUGGAUAGCUAACUAUCCAUGAAAAUGCCGUUGAGAGUUGAAGUACGCUAGAUAUGAUUUUCAAUCAUGUCAAUAUUUGUCUUUCUCCAAAGUCUCAAAAACUAGCUUAUAUGAAAUUGUUGCCAAUUAUCUAUUCAUUUAUAUGGUUAUACACCAAAUCAGCUCUGCUUUUAUAUCCUAAACUU
rnacentral:lncRNA from 1 species